rnacentral:rRNA from 1 species
UACGUAGGGGGCAAGCGUUGUCCGGAUUUAUUGGGCGUAAAGAGCGUGUAGGCGGCCAGGUAGGUCUGCUGUGAAAACUCGAGGCUUAACCUCGAGAUGUCGGCGGAAACCAUCUGGCUAGAGUCCGGAAGAGGAGAAUGGAAUUCCCGGUGUAGCGGUGAAAUGCGCAGAUAUCGGGAAGAACACCCGUGGCGAAGGCGGUCUCUGGGACGGUACUGACGCUGGAGACGCGAAAGCGUGGGGAGCGAACAGG